rnacentral:tRNA from 1 species
GGAAAGAUGCCGGAGUGGUCGANCGGGACGGUCUCGAAANCCGUUGUACCCUUACGGGUACNCAGGGUUCGAAUCCCUGUCUUUCCG